rnacentral:rRNA from 1 species
AUUGAACGCUGGCGGCAUGCCUUACACAUGCAAGUCGAACGGCAGCACGGGUGCUUGCACCUGGUGGCGAGUGGCGAACGGGUGAGUAAUACAUCGGAACGUACCUUAUCGUGGGGGAUAACGCAGCGAAAGUUGCGCUAAUACCGCAUACGCCCUGAGGGGGAAAGCGGGGGACCGUAAGGCCUCGCGCGAUUAGAGCGGCCGAUGUCUGAUUAGCUUGUUGGUGAGGUAAAAGCUCAACAAGGCGAUGAUCAGUAGCUGGUCUGAAAGGACGAUGAGCCAAACUGGGACUGAGAAACGGCCCAGACUCGUACGGGAGGCAGCAGUGGGGAAUUUUGGACAAUGGGGGCAACCCUGAUCCAGCAAUGCCGCGUGAGUGAAGAAGGCCUUCGGGUUGUAAAGCUCUUUUGUCAGGGAAGAAACAGCAGCUCUAACACAGUCUGCGAAUGACGGUACCUGAAGAAUAAGCACCGGCUAACUACGUGCCAGCCGCCGCCGUAA